UGUCCGAAGCCCGUCUAGAUGGCGCCGG
rnacentral:sRNA from 1 species